rnacentral:rRNA from 1 species
UACGUAGGGUGCGAGCGUUAAUCGGAAUUACUGGGCGUAAAGCGUGCGCAGGCGGUUUUGUAAGACAGAUGUGAAAUCCCCGGGCUUAACCUGGGAACUGCAUUUGUGACUGCAAGACUAGAGUGCGGCAGAGGGGGGUAGAAUUCCACGUGUAGCAGUGAAAUGCGUAGAGAUGUGGAGGAAUACCGAUGGCGAAGGCAGCCCCCUGGGUCGACACUGACGCUCAUGCACGAAAGCGUGGGGAGCAAACAGG